rnacentral:rRNA from 1 species
GACGAACGCUGGCGGCGUGCCUAACACAUGCAAGUCGAACGGGAGCAAGUGCUUCGGUAUUUGCUUUAGUGGCGAACGGGUGAGUAACGCGUGAAUAACCUGCCUUAUACAGGGGGAUAACAGUUAGAAAUGACUGCUAAUACCGCAUAAGCGCACAGGACCGCAUGGUCUGGUGUGAAAAACUCCGGUGGUAUAAGAUGGACCCGCGUCUGAUUAGCUAGUUGGUGGGGUAACGGCCCACCAAGGCGACGAUCAGUAGCCGGCCUGAGAGGGUGAACGGCCACAUUGGGACUGAGACACGGCCCAG